rnacentral:rRNA from 1 species
UACGUAGGGUGCGAGCGUUGUCCGGAAUUACUGGGCGUAAAGAGCUCGUAGGUGGUUUGUCGCGUUGUUCGUGAAAUCCCACGGCUUAACUGUGGGCGUGCGGGCGAUACGGGCAGACUGGAGUACUGCAGGGGAGACUGGAAUUCCUGGUGUAGCGGUGGAAUGCGCAGAUAUCAGGAGGAACACCGGUGGCGAAGGCGGGGUCUCUGGGCAGUAACUGACGCUGAGGAGCGAAAGCGUGGGGAGCGAACAGG